CCAGCAGCUGCGGUAAUUCCAGCUCCAAUAGCGUAUAUUAAAGUUGUUGCAGUUAAAACGCUCGUAGUCUGAUGUAAUGGGGAGUGGAGUGGGGAGCAGCGAUGCUCUUUGCUUUGGUCCUCAUCAUAGGGACAGCAAUGUCCCAGUUUACUUUGAGGAAAUUAGAGUGUUCAAAGCAGGCGAUUGCUUGAAUACUGCAGCAUGGAAUAAUAAUUUAGGACUUCGGUUCUAUUUUGUUGGUUUCUAGGACUGAAGUAAUGAUUGAUAGGGAUAGUUGGGGGUGCUAGUAUUCAGCGGCCAGAGGUGAAAUUCUCGGAUUCGCUGAAGACUAACUUAUGCGAAAGCAUUCA
rnacentral:rRNA from 1 species